rnacentral:rRNA from 1 species
GCGAGCGUACACAGGUGCUGCAUGGCUGGUCGUCAGCUCGUGUCGUGAGGAUGUUGGGUUAAGUCCCGCAACGAGCGCAACCCUGCAUUCAGUUGCCAUCGGGUAAGUGCCGGGCACUCUGGAAGGACUGCCAUCGACAAGAUGGAGGAAGGUGGGGAUGACGUCAAGUCAUCAUGGCCCUUAUGUCCAGGGCGACACACGUGCUACAAUGGCCGGCACAACGGGAAGCGAGUUCGCGAGGACGAGCGGAUCCCUCAAAGCCGGUCGCAGUUCGGAUUGAAGUCUGCAACUCGACUUCAUGAAGCUGGAAUCGCUAGUAAUCGUGGAUCAGAAUGUCACGGUGAAUACGUUCCCGGGCCUU